GCUUGGCAAAGCGGGAGCCUUCCGCGGCAGAGCUUGGGUGUCCGGGCUCUGAGGCUCCGGUCUGACCUCUCCACGGGGUCGACGGGAAUGUCUCCGGAUGCCAGGAGUUGCAAAGGGCAGACCUAGAUGAGGAAACCCCAGGCAGAGUCCUGGGGAAGCAGCACGGCAUCCGAGCCUCAGGCUUGCCUGGACGGUGUUGGUUGGGGUAAGAUUGGGGAAGAUGCCAGGUGAUAGAAUCCACCCUGCCUCUGACAGCAUCCAAUCUGGAGCAAAGGCUUAUUUCAACCCUCCCCCAAGCUCCCAAUACAAGCCCAAAUUCUGGAACAGGUCCUUUCCAACACCUCCUUCAGAGAAGCUCCCUGGCUCCAGGCAGUGCUUGCUCCCCUCACUGCAGCAGGAAGCCUAACUUGCGAACUGCAGGUGUGCUCCAGGUGGUCACUGGAUGCAAGGCAUUGACAGAUGGAUCCCAUCGAUACCCCCACUGCAAAACCAUAGUGCAGUGAAUAGAAGACACUUCUCUGCACCCCAAAAGCUCCAUGCUGAUUGUGAGAAGGAAAUGCUGGAUGGAGGGGUUCCUGGAACU
rnacentral:lncRNA from 1 species